rnacentral:rRNA from 1 species
UACAGAGGGUGCGAGCGUUAAUCGGAAUUACUGGGCGUAAAGCGUGCGUAGACGGCUAUCUAAGUCGGGUGUGAAAGCCCCGGGCUCAACCUGGGAAUUGCAUUCGAGACUGAAUAGCUAGGGUACGGUAGAGGGAAGCGGGAAUUUCCGGUGUAGCGGUGAAAUGCGUAGAUAUCGGAAGGAACAUCAGUGGCGAAAGCGGCUUCCUGGACCAGUACCGACGUUCAGGCACGAAAGCGUGGGGAGCAAACAGGA